rnacentral:sRNA from 1 species
UCCAGAACAGCCCAGGUCUCGAUCGAGUC